UAUCUGCAGUCGAGCGGACGAUGGGAGCUUGCUCCCUGAUGUUAGCGGCGGACGGGUGAGUAACACGUGGGUAACCUGCCUGUAAGACUGGGAUAACUCCGGGAAACCGGGGCUAAUACCGGAUGCUUGUUUGAACCGCAUGGUUCAAACAUAAAAGGUGGCUUCGGCUACCACUUACAGAUGGACCCGCGGCGCAUUAGCUAGUUGGUGAGGUAACGGCUCACCAAGGCAACGAUGCGUAGCCGACCUGAGAGGGUGAUCGGCCACACUGGGACUGAGACACGGCCCAGACUCCUACGGGAGGCAGCAGUAGGGAAUCUUCCGCAAUGGACGAAAGUCUGACGGAGCAACGCCGCGUGAGUGAUGAAGGUUUUCGGAUCGUAAAGCUCUGUUGUUAGGGAAGAACAAGUACCGUUCGAAUAGGGCGGUACCUUGACGGUACCUAACCAGAAAGCCACGGCUAACUACGUGCCAGCAGCCGCGGUAAUACGUAGGUGGCAAGCGUUGUCCGGAAUUAUUGGGCGUAAAGGGCUCGCAGGCGGUUUCUUAAGUCUGAUGUGAAAGCCCCCGGCUCAACCGGGGAGGGUCAUUGGAAA
rnacentral:rRNA from 1 species